GGAAGGGUAACGGCAGCAGACUGUAAAUCUGCCCUGCUUUAACAAAUUGUCGUAUCGGAAUCGCAGUAGGUGGGUUCGAGUCCCACCCCUUCCA
rnacentral:tRNA from 1 species